UGGUCAUUUAGAGGAAGUAAAAGUCGUAACAAGGUUUCCGUAGGUGAACCUGCGGAAGGAUCAUUAUUGAAAUAAAUCUGAUAAGUUGCUGCUGGUUCUCUAGGGAGCAUGUGCACACUUGUCAUCUUUGUAUCUUCACCUGUGCACCUUUUGUAGACCUGAAUAUCUCUCUGAAUGCUUUAUAGCACUCAGGAUUGAGAAUUGACUUCUUGUCUCUUCUUAUUUUUCAGGUCUAUGUUUCUUCAUAUACCCUAAUGUAUGUUUGUAGAAUGUGAUUAAUGGGCCUUUGUGCCUUUAAAUCUUWUACAACUUUCAGCAACGGAUCUCUUGGCUCUCGCAUCGAUGAAGAACGCAGCGAAAUGCGAUAAGUAAUGUGAAUUGCAGAAUUCAGUGAAUCAUCGAAUCUUUGAACGCACCUUGCGCUCCUUGGUAUUCCGAGGAGCAUGCCUGUUUGAGUGUCAUUAAUAUUAUCAACCUCUUUGGUUGGAUGUGGGUUUGCUGGCCUCUUGAGGUCAGCUCUCCUUAAAUGCAUUAGCGGACAACAUUUUGCCAACUGUUCAUUGGUGUGAUAAUUAUCUACGCUAUUGACGGUGAAGCAAGGUUCAGCUUCUAACAGUCCAUUGACUUGGACAAGCUUAUUUUAUUAAUGUGACCUCAAAUCAGGUAGGACUACCCGCUGAACUUAAGCAUAUCAAUAAGCGGAG
rnacentral:rRNA from 1 species